GGUCGAUGAUGAAAAUUAGCCAAAUCUGAGAGCUCAGGCAGAACGUGCCUCUGCUUUUGAUUACGCUUGAGAAGCUUCUAUGU
rnacentral:snoRNA from 1 species